GUAGGGGCAAGCGUUGUCCGGAAUCAUUGGGCGUAAAGCGCGUGUAGGCGGUCCGAUAAGUCGGUUGUCGAAAGUCAAGGGCUCAACCCUUGAAUGCCGACCGAUACUGUCGGGCUAGAGUCCGGAAGAGGUGAGUGGAAUUCCUGGUGUAGCGGUGAAAUGCGCAGAUAUCAGGAGGAACACCAAUGGCGAAGGCAGCUCACUGGGACGGUACUGACGCUGAGACGCGAAAGCGUGGGAGCAAACAGGAUUAGAUACCCUGGUAGUCCACGCCGUAAACGAUGGGCACUAGGUGUGGGAGGUGUCGACUCCUCCCGUGCCGAAGCUAACGCAUUAAGUGCCCCGCCUGGGGAGUACGGCCGCAAGGCUA
rnacentral:rRNA from 1 species